rnacentral:lncRNA from 1 species
AUAUCUUCCUUCCAGCAAGUGCUUGUACAGUCCCUAGAAGAAUGCACAAAGUAUGUGCCUGUUGUCAGUGGGAGUAGAAGAGGCUCUGGAGCCUCUGAACCUGGGAGUACAGAGGUCUGAGCCUCCAUGGUGCUGGAAACCAAGCCUCAGCCACAUCUCCUGAUGGCCCUGCGGCCCGGCCCAGCCUCCUCCAGAUAACUGUCGUGGGGCUGAUGAAAGAUUAAAACAUGCCUGCUGCUCUCCACCAUCACAUGAGACCCAGGGCCUGUCCAGAGCGGGAUGCUGGCUAAGAGUACAUGGCCUCCUCUGCAGCAAGGACAGUGAAGGCUUCCACAUACAAACAAGCAAGCAAGCAAACCCAAGGCUGGAGAAGUGGUUCAGUAGUUAAAACACGCG